UACAGAGGGUGCGAGCGUUAAUCGGAAUUAUUGGGCGUAAAGGGAGCGUAGGCGGAUGUGCAAGUGGUAGGUGAAAGACCUGGGCUUAACCUGGGAGAGUCCUAUCAGACUGCACGUCUAGAGUGAGGUAGAGGAAGGUGGAAUUCCUGGUGUAGCGGUGAAAUGCGUAGAUAUCAGGAAGAACAUCGAUGGCGAAGGCAACCUUCUGGGCCUAUACUGACGCUGAGGCUCGAAAGCGUGGGGAGCAAACAGG
rnacentral:rRNA from 1 species